rnacentral:tRNA from 1 species
GCCUCAAUGGUCUAAUGGAUAUGACAGUAGUUUCCGGAGCUGCUGAUACGGGUUCGAUUCCUGUUUGAGGCGCCA